rnacentral:rRNA from 1 species
UACGGAGGGGGCAAGCGUUGUUCGGAAUUACUGGGCGUAAAGGGCUCGUAGGCGGCCAACUAAGUCAGACGUGAAAUCCCUCGGCUUAACCGGGGAACUGCGUCUGAUACUGGAUGGCUAGAGGUUGGGAGAGGGAUGCGGAAUUCCAGGUGUAGCGGUGAAAUUCGUAGAUAUCGGGAGGAACACCAGUGGCGAAGGCGGCGAUCUGGGAAGAUACUGACGCUGAGGUGCGAAAGCGUGGGGAGCAAACAGG